UAACUUAAAAAACAAUCCUAUAUUUAAUCAUUCAGGUUAACACAGCCAUACAAACUGGUAUUUAAGAAAUCUCCCCAGUUAGCCUAUUUUUCAUUUUUCCAUGUAUUUCCAGGAGAGAUCACCACAAGUAAGUCAGAGUGCAUGCAUUAAAGUCAAAAUGAUUGGUGCCUUCAAGAGGAAGAUCCCUGAAUCAUGCAAGGAGCUUCAUUCAGAAAGAAGACCUUCAUCUCUACCUUCAGAAUGUUCUUCACUGCACUGGAAUGAAGAUGGUGAUGAUAACGAUGGUCAGGGCUCAAGCUCAGGCCCUUCCCUGCUGUGUGCCAUAAAUCAGUGCCCGAAGGGACAGGAAGCAGAGGAGGUGCUGCCAUCAGGUCAGGAAGUGGCUUGGAAUGGGGGCCAUUCCCACUGCAUAUCUAACACUAUGGAUCCGCUCCAAUGCCCAGGAAGCUGGGGUGAAGAGGACAG
rnacentral:lncRNA from 1 species